UGCUUAACACAUGCAAGUCGAACGAUGAAGCCCUGCUUGCAGGGUGGAUUAGUGGCGAACGGGUGAGUAACACGUGAGUAACCUGCCCCUGACUCUGGGAUAAGCCCGGGAAACUGGGUCUAAUACCGGAUAUGACUUCCUACUGCAUGGUGGGUUGUUGAAAGAUUUAUCGGUGGGGGAUGGACUCGCGGCCUAUCAGCUUGUUGGUGAGGUAAUGGCUCACCAAGGCGACGACGGGUAGCCGGCCUGAGAGGGUGACCGGCCACACUGGGACUGAGACACGGCCCAGACUCCUACGGGAGGCAGCAGUGGGGAAUAUUGCACAAUGGGCGGAAGCCUGAUGCAGCGACGCCGCGUGAGGGAUGACGGCCUUCGGGUUGUAAACCUCUUUCAGUAGGGAAGAAGCGAAAGUGACGGUACCUGCAGAAGAAGCGCCGGCUAACUACGUGCCAGCAGCCGCGGUAAUACGUAGGGCGCAAGCGUUAUCCGGAUUUAUUGGGCGUAAAGAGCUCGUAGGCGGUUUGUCGCGUCUGCCGUGAAAGUCCGAGGCUCAACCUCGGAUCUGCGGUGGGUACGGGCAGACUAGAGUGAUGUAGGGGAGACUGGAAUUCCUGGUGUAGCGGUGAAAUGCGCAGAUAUCAGGAGGAACACCGAUGGCGAAGGCAGGUCUCUGGGCAUUUACUGACGCUGAGGAGCGAAAGCAUGGGGAGCGAACAGGAUUAGAUACCCUGGUAGUCCAUGCCGUAAACGUUGGGCACUAGGUGUGGGGGACAUUCCACGUUUUCCGCGCCGUAGCUAACGCAUUAAGUGCCCCGCCUGGGGAGUACGGCCGCAAGGC
rnacentral:rRNA from 1 species